rnacentral:rRNA from 1 species
AGGAACAACAGGGAUUGCCCUAGUAACGGCGAGUGAAGCGGCAACAGCUCAAAUUUGAAAUCGCGAGAGUGCGAAUUGUAAUUUCUAGAGGAUGCUUCGGUAUGGUUACUGGUCCAAGUCCCUUGGAACAGGGCAGUCAUAGAGGGUGAGAAUCCCGUAUAUGGCCGGUUUAACCAGAUCAUAUGAAGCUCCCUCGACGAGUCGAGUUGUUUGGGAAUGCAGCUCUAAAUGGGAGGUAAAUUCCUUCUAAAGCUAAAUACUAGCCAGAGACCGAUAGUGCACAAGUAGAGUGAUCGAAAGAUGAAAAGCACUUUGGAAAGAGAGUUAAAAAGUACGUGAAAUUGUUGAAAGGGAAGCGCUCGCAACCAGACUCAGGCGCGGGUGCUCAAACAGCCUCCUACUGGCAGUUGCACUCCCUGCAAACGUCUGGGCCAGCAUCAGUUCGGGGGGCUGGAUAAAGGCUCUAGGAAUGUAGCACCCUUCGGGGUGUGUUAUAGUCUAGAGUGCAAUGCAGCUCGGCUUCUGGACUGAGGUCCGCGCAUAUAAAUAAUGCUAGGAUGUUGGCAUAAUGGUUGUGAGCGGCCCGUCUUGAAACACGGACCAAGGAGUCUAACAUCUAUGCAAGUGUUUGGGUAUCAAACCCAUGCGCGCAAUGAAAGUGAACGUAGGUGGGAGCCUUUGGGUGCACCAUCGACCGAUCCCUAUGUCAUCGGAUGGAUUUGAGUAUGAGCAUAGCUGUUGGGACCCGAAAGAUGGUGAACUAUGCCUGAAUAGGGUGAAGCCAGAGGAGACUCUGGUGGAGGCUCGCAGCGGUUCUGACGUGCAAAAUUCCGAUC